GAUGAACGCUAGCGACAGGCCUAACACAUGCAAGUCGAGGGGCAGCACAUGAGUAGCAAUACGAUGGUGGCGACCGGCGCACGGGUGAGUAACACGUAUGCAACCUGCCUGUAAGAGGGGAAUAACCCGGAGAAAUUCGGACUAAUACCGCAUAAUACCACGAGACUGCAUGGUUUUGUGGUUAAACAUUUAUGGCUUACAGAUGGGCAUGCGUAUGAUUAGAUAGUUGGUAGGGUAACGGCCUACCAAGUCUACGAUCAUUAGGGGUUCUGAGAGGAAGGUCCCCCACACUGGUACUGAGACACGGACCAGACUCCUACGGGAGGCAGCAGUGAGGAAUAUUGGUCAAUGGGCGAGAGCCUGAACCAGCCAAGUCGCGUGAAGGAAGAAGGUUCUAUGGAUUGUAAACUUCUUUUGCAGGGGAAUAAAGGACGGUACGUGUACUGUUUUGUAUGUACCUUGCGAAUAAGGAUCGGCUAACUCCGUG
rnacentral:rRNA from 2 species